rnacentral:rRNA from 1 species
GAUGAACGCUAGCUACAGGCUUAACACAUGCAAGUCGAGGGGCAGCAUGAACUUAGCUUGCUAAGUUUGAUGGCGACCGGCGCACGGGUGAGUAACACGUAUCCAACCUGCCGAUGACUCGGGGAUAGCCUUUCGAAAGAAAGAUUAAUACCCGAUGGCAUAGUUCUUCCGCAUGGUAGAACUAUUAAAGAAUUUCGGUCAUCGAUGGGGAUGCGUUCCAUUAGGUUGUUGGCGGGGUAACGGCCCACCAAGCCUUCGAUGGAUAGGGGUUCUGAGAGGAAGGUCCCCCACAUUGGAACUGAGACACGGUCCAAACUCCUACGGGAGGCAGCAGUGAGGAAUAUUGGUCAAUGGACGAGAGUCUGAACCAGCCAAGUAGCGUGCAGGAUGACGGCCCUAUGGGUUGUAAACUGCUUUUAUAAGGGAAUAAAGUGAGUCUCGUGAGGCUUUUUGCAUGUACCUUAUGAAUAAGGACCGGCUAAUUCCGUG